CUUCCGGAGCUAACGCGUUAAGUAGACCGCCUGGGGAGUACGGCCGCAAGGUUAAAACUCAAAUGAAUUGACGGGGGCCCGCACAAGCGGUGGAGCAUGUGGUUUAAUUCGAUGCAACGCGAAGAACCUUACCUGGUCUUGACAUCCACAGAACUUUCCAGAGAUGGAUUGGUGCCUUCGGGAACUGUGAGACAGGUGCUGCAUGGCUGUCGUCAGCUCGUGUUGUGAAAUGUUGGGUUAAGUCCCGCAACGAGCGCAACCCUUAUCCUUUGUUGCCAGCGAUUAGGUCGGGAACUCAAAGGAGACUGCCAGUGAUAAACUGGAGGAAGGUGGGGAUGACGUCAAGUCAUCAUGGCCCUUACGACCAGGGCUACACACGUGCUACAAUGGCGCAUACAAAGAGAAGCGACCUCGCGAGAGCAAGCGGACCUCAUAAAGUGCGUCGUAGUCCGGAUUGGAGUCUGCAACUCGACUCCAUGAAGUCGGAAUCGCUAGUAAUCGUGGAUCAGAAUGCCACGGUGAAUACGUUCCCGGGCCUUGUACACACCGCCCGUCACACCAUGGGAGUGGGUUGCAAAAGAAGUAGGUAGCUUAACCUUCGGGAGGGCGCUUACCACUUUGUGAUUCAUGACUGGGGUGAAGUCGUAACAAGGUAACCGUAGGGGAACCUGCGGUUGGA
rnacentral:rRNA from 5 species